rnacentral:tRNA from 1 species
AUUUGAGUAGCUUAAAUUAGAGCAUAAUAUUGAAGAUAUUGAGGUAAUAUUAAUUCUUAGAUA